UGGCAGACUCGACUUCCUCAAAGGGGCUG
rnacentral:piRNA from 1 species